AGUGGUCCGCGGACCACACUUUGAGAACCACUGCUCUAAAUUAGCAUAAUUAUUGAGAUUUUAAUUUCAGAAAUGUCCAAAUUCAAUGAAGAAUAUUAUGCAAAGAGAAGAAAGUUUAGAGUGCAAGUUAAGAAACAAAUGAACGCAAUAAAUGCUGUGCUUUUGAUCUUGAUUUGGGAAAUCUUAUUUGGCUACUUUUUUAAAUAUUUAUUUCCAUACAAGAGACAGAAAAGUCGGAGGUGGAGAGAGACGACAAAAAUACUCCCACUGAACCAAAAAGGAUACCAGUAACUCCUAUCAGAUUUCGGGAUGCACAGCUAACAGACAGCGAAGGAGAGAAGGAUGCUGAGGAAUCACUGUGAUUCAGUUAUGCAGCAGUGUGCUCUACCAUUGCCAUACUCUUUGCCGCCAGUGGUUGGCCAUCUCUAGGAUGUCCACAAGUAGCAGCUUUCGAAAAAGCCGGUGUUUCACCUUUGCCUUCACGCCUCCAGUACUUCCGAUUACAUUGUCUGGUUUUUGCCCUGCCAGCAUAGGGACCCAAAACCCUUCGAAGCUAAACUAGAGAAAUUUGUGAUGCAACAACUGUCUCUUCUGGAAAAGAUGAAUAAUCAUA